GGCACUGUGGCCCAAAGGAGUAGGGUGCCAGCCCUAUAUGAUGGAGGUGGCGGGUUCAAACCCCGCCCUGGCUA
rfam:Otolemur garnettii contig175492, whole genome shotgun sequence.